UACGUAGGGGGCGAGCGUUGUCCGGAAUUACUGGGUGUAAAGGGAGCGCAGGCGGGGAAGCAAGUCAGCUGUGAAAUCCAUGGGCUUAACCCAUGAACUGCAGUUGAGACUGUUUUUCUUGAGUGAAGUAGAGGUAGGCGGAAUUCCGAGUGUAGCGGUGAAAUGCGCAGAUAUUCGGAGGAACACCGGUGGCGAAGGCGGCCUACUGGGCUUUUACUGACGCUGAGGCUCGAAAGUGUGGGGAGCAAAC
rnacentral:rRNA from 1 species